rnacentral:tRNA from 1 species
GUCCCCUUCGUCUAGAGGCCUAGGACAUCGCCCUUUCACGGCGACGACAGGGGUUCGACUCCCCUAGGGGACG